ensembl:lncRNA
GUGCCUUCUGAGGUUGGGUCAUACAUGGUGACAUAGUUCCUUCUGGCUGCCUCUCAGGAUGUUCACCCUUGCAUUCAGCCACCAUGUGGAGAAGAAGCUCCAAGAGACCAUGGGGAGAAGCCUCUUGGAGAGGCCUGCCUGGAGGAGAAUUAAGAUCCCCAAUCAGUGUAAGCCACCAAAAGUUAUCGCUGCUGGCUCUGCUGUCCAGGACUUCAAUAGCCACGUUAUAGUAAGAGAUCCCUGUUUAGGGCAGAGUCUUCUACUCCACAUCCAAGGAUGUCAGAGGACCAUCCUUAGAGAACCUUUCAAGUUCAUGGGUAAUCUUCUCACAGAUGUUUGUCCCAAUGUAUUGGUGAAGGGGCUGUCCCACCAGCGUUCGUAAGCUCAUGGAUAAGGGAUGAGUAAACAGGUUACACAAAAGUAAUCCGCUCCAACAUUCCUAUUUCUAAAAGUUUAGACCUUUUUCUUUACACUAUAAUACAGAAUUCUGGGCAUCUCAAUUUCAUUUAAUUUAGAACAUCAUUGAUAAUGUGUGUUGGUUAUCCAGGUCAGCAGAAAUUAGAACCAUUCCUAGCUACUCAACAUCAUUCACUGAAUCCAGAGACUAUGAUAAAGGUACACAUAGUGGAACAUAUAGACCAAUCUACAAUAAUGUUUCUCUCUUCCUGGGUCUAUACUCAUUGUAUUCAUUCAUAUGAAUAUUUCCAAAGGCAGAUAUAAGUAAGGAAAUGCUUACAAUUCUAUUUGAUGUAUAAGUCCUGUUCUGGGUUUGGAAUGGGCUCUUGGGAUUUAAAGGGAACGCGUACUAGAGAAAAUGACUUUUCUUUGCAAGAUAACUGCCUCAGGGAUAGUCAUUACAAGGAUUUGAAGGAGACAAAGCAACCUCACAAGAUAGGAAAGGAACGGAGGCCCAAGGUAUUUGGGGACUCUUUGAGUCAUCCACAUUCUCUCAUUCGGACACAUUCUAAUCUUAUACCUUCUUUUUGUCUUUUGGUGAGGAAGAUUGGCCCUGAGCUAACAUCUGUGCCAACCUUCCUCUACUUUGUAUGUGGGAUGCUGCCACAGCAUGACUUGAUGAGCCAUGUUUAGGCCCACACCUGGGAUCUGAACCCAUGAACCCCAGACCUCUGAAGUGGAGCACGGGCACUUAACCGCUACGUCACGGGGCCAGCCCCAUCUUAUGCCCUACUUUUCCACAAUAAACUUAAUUUUCACAUAAAGACCUCAUGAAAUUCUGAAUUUAACCACUGCAAAUCAGAAAUCCAGAUGUUCCUCCCAUGAAUUUGAUUUUCAGCUUUAUAAUUCCUACAUUUAAAUGAUGUAGAGAUAUUAUUUUAAGGAAGUACAGCCUUGCAGAAACCAAGAAUUUUGAAUUCCGAGAUUAACAUGUCCUUUAAGUGGUUCAGCAUUAUUUGAAAUAUCUGGCCAACCCAGUGGUCCAUAUAUAUGUCUUUUAUAUUUCACAAUGAUCUGUGCUAGCAGCCGUUCAAUCAGGCAAAACCUUGGUUUCAACAGGCAAAGCAAAAAUUUCCUGGAUGGCUGCUGCAAUCAAGGACUUCCAGGUUCCCAUACUCUAGUGUUGUUCAGCAGUUUGGGCUGUUGAAACACAAUGCAACAGACUGAGUAUCUUACAAGCAACAGAAAUUUAUUUCUCACAGUUUUUGAAGUCUGAGAUGGGGGAACCAGCAGGAUCAGGUGAAGGCCUUUUCUGGGUCGCAGACUUCUUGUAUCCUCAGAUGGCAGAAGAGUCUAGGGAUCUUCCUAGGGCCUUUUUUAUAAGGGCACUAAUCCCAUUCGUGAGCUCUCCACACUCACGACCUAAUCACCUCCCCAAAUCCCCACCUCCUAACACUGUCACAUUAGAAUUUUAAUAUAUGAAUUUGAGGGGGACGCAUUCAGACCAUAGCAAGUAUAAACUGUAUCCUUGUGCCUCCAAUUCAAAUCAGUUGAGAAAAUCAGUCCCAAAUUCCAAUUUCUUUCAGAGUUCUUUGCAUCUUUUCUUGUUAUCCGUCAUUAUCUUGCACAGAAUCGUGAUGUGUGAAUGACAAAACACUUUCUGGCCAGUUUAAACAGGAAAUAAAUUUACUAAAGAAUAAUGAGUAGCUAAUUCAUCUCUGGGAAAGAGAGAGCCAGAGUGCAAAGCUACAUAACCAGGAAACAGGUCAACCACUGAGAGGUCUUGCUGAUUGAAAAAUACACUGUGACUGCCUCCAAGCAUCUAUGAAAUUGCAGGACUGUGUUGCUGAAUCACUUCUCCUGCCACCAUUGACGAAACUGAGCACCACUGCACUUUUAAGAUGUCUCCCUAUAAGAAGCCAUUACUCAUAUUAACUGCUUUCAAAUCUCAUUCUUAUGAAAAUAAUUCUCAUUGGUAGAUUCCAAGUCAACUGUAUGGUUUCCAGAUGCAAGGGAAGACCAGAAAGAAACACCUUAAAUACUAUUAAUAUGGCUUACAGAAAAUAUAGUAAUCAUUACCGUAACUGAAAAAAAUCACUAAAACCACAUUAAUUAAAUAUAAGUAGAUAGGCAGAAAUAGGCAUUCUUAUCAUACUUUAAUGAAAUUUUAAUGGAGUCAUAAUGAAAUUAUUAGAAUUUCAUUUGCUAUAAAUCAGGUUCCAAUUUGAUUUCAAUAAAAAUAAAAUUCAAUAAGAUAAGGAAAUGAAAGACUUAUUAUAAACAUUGGGAAAGAAGAGAUGCAAUGUUUUUGUUUCAGUUUCUUAAUUGUGGAUGUCGUGAUCAUAUACCUAGGAAACACAAAAUGCACCAGUAAAAAUUGCUACAAUUAACAAUAGAAUGUUUUGAGGUAGGUAAAAAUACAAGAUAAAUUUGUAGAAUUUUGUUUGGAGAAAUGUGGUUGGUAAAGUUCAUUUGUUGAGUUCUCAGACAGAAAUGGAAAUGAGCAACUUGUUAUUAGACAAUGGGAAAAAAUGAUCUUGUUAUAAAGUGUGUAAGAACUUAGCUGAAUUGUAUUCUUGCUUUAGUGUUUUGUAGAAGGUAGAAAUUGCGAGUGGUGAAAUUGGAUAUUUAACUGAAGAGAGUUCUAAGCAAAGUGUUGAAGGAGAGGCUUGGUUUCUCUUGACUCCUUAUAAUGAAAUGUGAGAAGAGAGAAAUGAAUUGAAGAAGGAGUUCUUAAGUAAAAAGGAAGUGGAACUUAUAGAUUUGGAAAAUUCUCCACCUAUCCAUAUUGCAAAAAAUUUAAAAGUGUUUUUGGAAGAGAACAAUAAGGAUGUGGCUGAACAAACAUUUGAUAAGGAGAUUUGUAUGGGUAUGAACCAUGGACCUAAUUAUCCACACCAGCAGAAACUGCCAACUUUAAUUAAAGGGACAACAUGAAGGAAGGCUAUCAGACUUACUGGAUCUUACAGGACCAGAUCCUAGAGCCAUUUGGCUUUGAAGGUGCGCUGUGCUUCAAGACGGAAGAAUGACCUGGAAAGUCAAUUCAAAGAUCAUCAGAACUGCCUCCAAAUAGGAGGCAACACCUCAGUUUAAACAGACCAGGCAUCAGCAGCCCCCAAACCUUGAAGGUGAGAUUGCCUAGUAGUCUUGAGGGCAAGAAGGAGCCCUACAGAGCCUGGGGGCACUUACCUCCCUUCCAUCCCCUCCUUCCCACCUCUGCAUCUCCAAAUUCCCCUCCACCCGCUGCUUUGAGUAACAGAGCUGCAGGGGCAUGACCCCCCAUCCAUCAAAGCUGCAGGUUCGUGACCACUGUCCAGCAGAGGUGGAACUGCCAACCUGGUGAGUCAGGAAGGCAAAGCAUUGAACCAAAGAAGAUUAUUCUAAAGCCUCAAGAUCUAAAGAUGUUUGCCUUGCAUGUAUUUGGACUUGCUUGGGACGCAGCACCCCGUUCUUUCUCUGAUUUCUCUCUUUUGGAAUGGAAAUGUCUAUCCUAUGUCUGUCCCACCAUUGUAUUUUAGAAGUGCAUAACUUGUCUAGUUUCAAAGGUUUACAGCUGGAAAGGAAUUUUGCCUCAAGAUGAAUCAUACCUCAAGUCUCACUCAUAUCUGAUUUAAAUUAUUUUUGUAAUGAGACUUUGGACUUUCAGGUUGAUUCUGGAAUGAGUUAAGACUGGGGGCUGUUGGGAUGGUAUGAAUAUAUUUUUCAUGUGAGAAGGGCAUGAAUUUUGAGGGACUAGGGGUAGAAUACAAUGGACUGAAUGUGUUCCUCCAAAAUACAUAUGUUGAAACCCUAACCCCCAAUGUGAUACAAUUCAGAGAUGGAGACUUUGGGAGGUCAUUAGAUUAAGAGGAGGUCAUGAGGAUGAGGUCCCUAUGAUGGGAUUAGUGUCCUUAUAAGAGAAAGAAGAGACCAGAGCUCUCUGUCUCUCCACCAUAUGAAGACACAGUGAGAGGAUGGGUAUCUGCAAGCCGGGAAGAGGGAUCUCACCAGGACCUGAAUCUGCCAGCACUUUGAUCUUGAACUUCCUAGCCUUCAGAACUGUGAAAAUAAAUGCUAUUUUUUCAGCCACCCAAUCUAUGGUAUUUUGUUGUAGCAUCUCAAGUAGACUAAUA